CGGACAGUAGCUUAGUGGAAGAGCUCCCGCUUCGUAUGCGAGAAGACCUGGGUUCGACUCCCAACUGCUUGG
rnacentral:tRNA from 1 species